rnacentral:lncRNA from 1 species
GCGUUGGUCUUCCUUCUUGAUUUUCUUGUGUUUUGGAAGUUGUAUUUUGGGUAUUCUAGGUAUUCUUUCUCCUUGUGCAAAAAUGAUCAGCUAGUAAAUGUCUUGAUGUCGCUUUGGUCCUUCUCACUGGGAAACAAAAGCUUGACAAUCACAAGCACUGAUACGUUUGCAGCAGGAUGUGGACAUAUAUGGUGGUCCUUUCCCAUUGGCCUUCCAGGAUGAAGUGUGCGCACUGCAGAAGCCACCUUGCUCAGGUGCUGUCUACCCAUGCACUGCAUUUCCCAAUCAAAAUGCCUUCAUAGAGUUAAUACAUCCUGUGUGCACUCAGAGACAUAGAUGCUUAAAGACUAAACAUAAAAUACUAAAAAUAAAAGGUAGCCAAAAUCACUUGAUUGAUUUUUUGAUGUUAUUGGUAGCCUGUAGGAAUACAUAUAAAGUUUUUUUUAGAACCCCAGAAAUAUUUUUGCCCACAUAUGAAAACUCAGAUGUCCAUUGCAUGACUUGAGAGUCACAUGGAUUCAGCCCUUGAACCCAGAGCCCUGACUUGAUUUCCAGGCUUGACUUUGGUCUUUUAUGGUAUUUAGAAAAUACUUUUCAAUUUCCUUUAUUUCCUUAUGCAUGAAAAAUUAAUGUAGAUUUCAGGUUUAGUGAGAAUGAGAGCCAUAGCACUAAUUUAUACCUCUAGAACUUGAAAUAAUAUAGCUAGUAGUCAUACUGAUAUAGAAACUUGCUUAGGAUUUUUCUUUAGUUACUGAAAAAAGACAUGAGAAACACAAACGUUCACAACCACUGACCAAAACAUUAUCAUUAGAUAAUUAACACUGCAACGCUGGUUGAAAAUAUUGUGUAAUUAAUUUCCCUAAUGCCAGGCUGCCAGGGCCGUCUAGCAACUUGCAUUUCCUCUCAGAGCAGGCACACUGAUAUGGAAGUCAGAAGGUUACCCUUAUGAUGAGCACUCUGGACAUGACUGAACUCAAUCAGCAUUGAAAAGUCAGCGCUUGGAUCUUUAAAGACUUGCAGAGUUCCUCAUUAUGAUUCUCCCUUCAAACUGCAAGUUUUUUCUGGAAGGGAAAAGAACUUCUAGUUGUUCUUACCCGGUGCUUUUUUGACAAAGAAUCUAAACUGGAAGGUCAAUUCCUUCACUCACCCAUUGUUUGCAACUUUGCAAUGUUUUCCCCAAAGUUUGCUUCCUACAAAAUGCAGAAACAGUGUUGCCCUCCUGCUUUCCAGGUUUAUUUAUUUUUAUCUUAUUGCGUGGAUUUUUUUUUUUUUUUUGCCUGCAGGUAUGUCUGUGCUCCGUGAUAGCAUCUGCUUUUAACAAAUAGAGCAGUGUGCACAGCUGUGAGCUGUCUGUUUAUGGCUAGUAGCAGAUGGUCAAACACUGGCAUUUAAGAAGAUUCAAGGUUUUCUGGGUCUAUGGGAAAUUCUCAAUACUCCAGCUCUUGGGCAUUCCCCACUCAGAGAAGAUACACUAAAUGUAUCACCAUACAGGUAGAUAUUCAUUUUAAUUUGCACGUGACUUUUGUUUUUUUAUUCAGAUUGAUUUUUUAAAGUACAUUUUUUAGAUAGGCAGAGAAAAGACUAUAUGCAGGUCGUUGUUUGAUUUUUGCCUCUACUUCCCUGCCUUAUUUAGGGAAUUUUCAUGAGUGGAAAGAUAUAUAAAUAAUUAACUCCUUGUGUUGUCCAAAUUAUAUUUCAUCUCCCGAACAACAUCUGUAGCAAAUUUUUUUGUACAAACUGAUGCGUUUCUUCUCCUUCUCUCAACCACCAAGCUAACAGAAGGCUUCCACGGACGCUGGUGCCUAUUCUUUAGAGUAAUGAUUAAAUCGCUACUUACCAGUUACCUCUGUUGAUUUUGUUUACCUGAUUUAUUUAUUUUUAGUUAGGUGAGUUUGAUUUCAAACUGGAAUCCAUGAUACAGAGCACAUAGGGAUCUCUUUAUCUUUAUCAAUUCUAUGAUUCUGAGGGCCUGAUUUUCAAAUCCCAGUUUCACCAUUCUCUUAUCCAUGUACUGGGCCCUGUUGUCUCCUACCUAAACCCAUUCCCAGUUGCUAUGGUAACAGUUGUUACUGUAGCAAUGGAUGCUGACCCAAGAAGGCUUUGUGAUAAGUAGAUUUAUCUAUGCUGGGAACCCUUUAUGAAAUAAAAAGAAUUCUUGAAAAAGAGAGCCACUGCUGAAUACAAAUGCAUAGACACAGCCAACAAACUUGCUCUCUCUCACAAAAAUAAAAGAAAAUUAAAAUAACAUCCGAAGUAAUGCACCAUUUGGGUUCAUUUGGUCAUUUAUCAAUCAGCAGCUGAGGGAAACAUUUCAAAUCUUUUCCUUCCCUAGUCCGUCUUUCUAUUCUUUCUCCCUGAAAGUUGCUGAUAAGGGUGUGUUUAUUUUAUUUCCCACCCACCCCCAAUAUUUUAUUUUCUAUUCAGAAUAGUAAAAUAAAUAUAUUGUAUACAUUAGAAUGCUUUCAGCCACAGACAUUUUCACCCCCUCAAGAUAUGAGACUCUAUUUGAUAAGUACAUUUACCACAUUCUAAUUUUCUCCUUUAUUAUAUUUACUCUUCUCUAAUAUAAUACAUCCUGAUGGUAGCCUCUCCUCUCACCCCUCCUCCUAGUUUUCCCCUCCCACAGAUGAGGAGUUGUUUUUUUAAAAAGCAUCUAUCCUUAUUUUUCCUUGUACAAUUCUAGAAAAUGUAGUCCUAAGUUAGUUGUUUAUAUAAAUUUCCUAGGCAGACACCUUGGAAAGAGGAAAUCGAUGUUUCAUGAAUACAAAAUACAAGCUGUAUUUUUAAAGUAUUAUUUAUUCCUAGCAUAAACCCAAUUCAAUUCAAGUAAAAGACGGGGAAAACAAUUAAACACCAUACUUUUUUCUUUUCUUCAUUUUACUUUAUUUUUUGUUUUUUGGUCCUCCUAAUAUAUUGAAGAUGGGCCACAUUGAGAUAAACUAUGUAUUAGUUGCAUUAGCUGAGUGCAUGCGAUCUUAAGAAUUAGAAACCACAAAAGCAGGUCAGAUACUGAGUGAAGUAAAGAUUGUUCUUUUCUCUCAUUUGGUGAUGAGCAGGGCUAGUCCCUAUUGUGACCACGAGGGGGCAAUCACGUUCUAGCACAGAAUUUUGCAGGUAUGUGUUCACCACAGCUCACAAAGUGACCUAAGAUGUAUUUUUUUUUAAUCCAAGCAAACAGCAAACACCUCCUGUAACCUAAAAAUAAAAGAGAAAACACACCCAUAUUCCGUCCUUCUCUCUGAGAAGCUGGGUUACAGACUUUGAGCUGGCUCAGUGGUUACGGGCACUUGUUGCUCUUGCAGAGGACCUGGGUUUGGUUUCCAGGUAUUCACAUAGGAGCUCCCAAGUAUCCGUAACUCCACUUCCAGAGAAUCAUACGAUCUCCAAGGGCAUCAGGCACACAUACACGCAGG